rnacentral:tmRNA from 1 species
GGGGACGACUGGUUUUGACAGCGAGGUCAAUCAACUAGUAAGCAUGCCGAGCUAUGGAAUUUUAACUCGUUAAACUUAAUUCCAAAACAACAACCGGUGAAGAAUCUUUCGCUAUGGCUGCCUAAUUUUAUCCGAAUUAUAGUACGAUAACAGGCCUUGGCUCACUAGGUGAGCAAGCCAUACACUUCCUGCCAGCGCUGAUAGACCGCGUGCAAUUUAGAAGUGUCGUAAAAGUCUAAAUAAGAAAAAUAUUGUUUCGAUGUUUUUCCGAAGCUCAAGAGACUAAGUUUUAAGUGGAUUGUUUUUAGUCAGCUUAUUAACGAAAACUAAAUAGAAAAUAAGCAUGUAGAAAGCUACGCGGUUGCUUGUUUGGACCCGGGUUCGAUUCCCGGCGUCUCCACCA